rnacentral:lncRNA from 1 species
AAAUUAUUUUAGGCAUGGGAUCAAAGAAGAAACUUCUUUGUAGCAGCAUCCCAGUACUAGGACUUUUUGUCUCUGCAUGGAAAUCUGAAUAUAUUUAUAUGUUGGAGUGACAUCUCUACAGGAAGCCUAGAGACCUAACUGUUUGCUACAUGUCACCAAAGUUAAAGUGGCUACCUUAAUGAGCAGCCAGGAUGCCAUCAUCUCCGACCUGAAUGACAAUAACCUCCAAACCAGCCUUUGUAUACUCCUUCCUGCUGCUCUGCAGUCCACUUCCACAGACCAGCCAACUGAAUCUCCUUAUAGAUUCAUAAUGGCCAUCAGCACAAAGAUGUUUUAUCUGCAGUCAACCAGUCAUGUUUCAUGAUGGCAUCAAAAUGUGCUGGAAAAGGUCAGAGAAAAUCAUCAUCAUAAAGUGAAGUGAUUUUCUUCUUUAUGAGCUCCUGAUGUAAACAGACUGAUGAGCACAACACAAUCCUUACUCACCCACAUGACAUCAUACACAAUCACAGCUAAAUGUUUCUAUCUGUCAAAGCCUGAAGAGUGACUACCAGAUUGUUGCCUGAUUGCUAAGAAUUGAUGCUUGUUCAACUGGGAUCUAUCCAGAGAAACAUAAUCCACUUCAAGAAUUUUCUGAAAAGGGAAUCUAAUGCAAGGAAUUAAUUGCAAAGAUGAUGCAAUAUCUGAGAACGAUAGAUUUGACAGUUUGGUCUACAUUUCAAGGCUGGUUAGAUGGGAGGAGGAAGACUAAGUGCUCUGCCUUAACUCAGGCCAGGCUGUGGGCGCAAGUGCACCAACGGCUUUGAGACUAACACACAGCUCAGAACAAGGAGGUGAAAAUCUGACAGCUCAAAAUGAAGCAAAAACCCAAGAUUAAAACAGACACCAUUUUGUGCCCACUCAGUCUUCUUUCCAGGGUCAUACAUGUGUUUAUAACCGCACUUCUACAUUCUAUUAUGAGGGCAAGAGUUGUGGCUGCUAUAUAAAUGCUUCCUAGCAUAGUUCCUGACAACUAGGUGAUUCAUGAAUAUUUGCUGAAGAAAUAAAAAUAACUUUAUGAA